rnacentral:rRNA from 1 species
UACGUAGGGGGCAAGCGUUGUCCGGAAUCAUUGGGCGUAAAGAGCGUGUAGGCGGUCCGGUAGGUCGGCUGUGAAAGUCCAGGGCUCAACCCUGGGAUGCCGGUCGAUACUGCCGGACUAGAGUUCGGAAGAGGCGAGUGGAAUUCCCGGUGUAGCGGUGAAAUGCGCAGAUAUCGGGAGGAACACCGGUGGCGAAGGCGGUUCUCUGGGCCUGUACUGACGCUGAGGAGCGAAAGCGUGGGGAGCGAACAGG